CAUAGUAAAAAGUAGCAAUAAAAAACUAUCCUUUGACUGAAAUCACGGAGACAACCAAAAUCCCCUUUCUCUGCCGUCUCUCCACCAGCUGCGAUUUGGAUAAGCGCGGCCAUGGGUUGGGCAAGGUAGUGCACUGAAGAACACGACAAGCUACUCAACCUCGUCAUGUAUGACGGUUAGCGGGUAGCGGACGUGGCGACGGGGCUGGAGGUUAGCGGCGCGGAGGAAGCGGUGAUCUGGUCCACAGAUUUCCCGGAAGAACUCAUACAUGCUCAUCUUCCAAGCUAGUUUUUCCAAAUCGAGUGGGAUGUUUGUGCAUGACCAAAGCUUGUAAGUGCGUUGUCUUGGCGGCCAGUUCUGAACGAGGCGUGGUCCGCGCGUUUGAGCUACUGCUGUUGCGCCGGCACCAGCGAGGCCGCGUCUCGCGUCGCUAAUCUGGGAAGGCGGAUGCCGGUCACCGAGGAGAUCACGGGUGCCGGGACAGAGAACUUUGGCGCUGCGUUGAAAGGCCUAUUGUUCCUUUUUCAUCCCAGCAUGAGGAAGAGCAACAGGUCUUAGAGACUCAUUAUCCAGGAAGAGUGAUGAUAGCAUAUAAUGGAACUAAUGCAGUACUUGAUUUUUCUGGUUCCAUGUCUCACUCAAGAGAUUAGAAAUCAAGACUUGUUCAGAUGGAAACAUCUAAACGCACACGGAGUCAGCAAAGUUAUUACCUAAUUAAAUUUGAUGGCUUGUUGUCUGCCUUCUUUUAAUGCUAGCUAGGUGCCAAAACGUCACAUAAGAGUACUGAUGCAUCGUGUCUUUGAUCCUACGACAUGAUGGAAAGCAUACUGGAUUGGUUGCAGUCUUGCUUUUGAUCUACCGAGUCGUCCAAGUGGCGCUUGUGUGUUCAAACCCAGCAUGUCUGCGCAUGCAUUGGAAGUUUCUCUCUCCUUCAUGUGUUAGGACAUCCUUGUGUGAUUGUGUUUGUAGAUGCUAUGGUCGCAAGAAAUCAAUGAGGCCAUAUGAAAAUCAAGUACUCCCUUUGUAAAGAAGUACUGUAUUGAAAUAAACGCUCUUAUAUUUCUUUACAGAGGGAGUAGAAAAGAAUUGAUCAAAUUGUACUUUGCCUGUGUGAAACCCAUGUGUAAAUCAGGCAAAGGCUUCAAUUAAUCUUUUGGAAUCUCCCUUUUACCUGCA